GAUGAACGCUGGCGGUGUGCCUAAUACAUGCAAGUCGAGCGAACAGACGAGGAGCUUGCUCCUCUGACGUUAGCGGCGGACGGGUGAGUAACACGUGGAUAACCUACCUAUAAGACUGGGAUAACUUCGGGAAACCGGAGCUAAUACCGCAUAAUAUAUUGAACCGCAUGGUUCAAUAGUGAAAGACGGUUUUGCUGUCACUAAUAGAUGGACCCGGGCCGCAUUAGCUAGUUGGUAAGGUAACGGCUAACCAAGGCAACGAUGCGAAGCCGACCGGAAGGGUGGUUCGGCAAAAUGGAACCUGGAAACCGUUCAGAAUCCCAAGGGAGGCCGCAGUUGGGAAUAUUUCCGAAUGGGGGGAAGGCCGAACGAGGCAACGCGGGGGGGUGAAGAAGGGUCUCCGGUUGUAAAAACCCUGUUUUUGGGAAGAAAAAAAGGUGUAAGAAACUCUGCUCGUCUGACGGUAACCAAAGAAGAAGGCCCGGCCAACCUAGUG
rnacentral:rRNA from 1 species